rnacentral:lncRNA from 1 species
AUAGAGAAUUUUAAGGGUCUGGCUAUUCCUUAUCUGGAACACAUCAUCCAUGUUUGGGAGGAGACAGGCUCUCGGUUCCACAACUGCCUGAUCCAGCUAUACUGUGAGAAGGUGCAAGGUCUGAUGAAGGAGUAUCUCCUGUCCUUCCCUGCAGGUACCAGUUCUUUUAGGAAGCCGGUUGGCCCCAGGCCUUAGAGGAGAGCACAGACCCAGGUGCCACGUGUGGUGGGGGUAAGCAGGCCACCCUAUUCUCUGCCCAGGUGCGCAGAAGUUCUGAAGAGGAGCCAGGGGAGCUAAGUGACACAAGCCUGGCACAUGAGACUCAGGAGCUCUUGUCUAGGUCCUGGCAUCUCUGAGUGUCUCAGAGUCAUCCCUCGGGGAGGGUGGAAGGAACAGACCUGUCUGCAAGAUGACAGCUAUACUGAUAAGAAACAGGUUUGCCCACAGAGUAUUUCUCUAUUCAGCUUAUUUUUUUAACCGUAAGCUGAUGUUUUGGGGCCACAUGGAGACUAUGAACUAAAAGAAGUUAGCAUGGAAGCCACCCU